UAAGGCUGCGCAUUGCAUUGUUUAUAGUAGACAUGGGAGAUAAAGUUUAUAUCUAAGCUUUUUGAAUGGAAUAUACUGAAAACACUCAAUGACAACUACCUGAAUGAUAGCAGAGUUACUGUAUACAUUGGAUCAUAAUGCAUGCAAAUGAAAAGGACUCAUUUAACAUGUUUAAAAAGAUGAAGGCAUUUGGAAGAAUCAAAGAAGAAUUUGUUGGUGUUAUAAUGGGCAUAAGAUGGAGGUAAACAACCCAGCAGGACCGUAACCACCAAGAUGUCUGAGGAGUAAAAACAGAAAACACAUAGAUGUGUAAAGGAUACGUUUAUAUAGAGACCACAGAAAAGUAUUAAACAAGAAAUCAUCGGUAUAAUAUUCUGAUGACGCUUUUAAAGUAAAUUGGAUAUAUAAACAAUAGUGGUUCUUUUAUUCAAAAAACAUCAGGGAAAAUUACUCAACAGUUCAUAGUGGAAGGAUUGCUAAAACGUGUAAGUGAAAUUUCAUAUCAGAUGUCAAAUGAUACAGAUCAAGGCCCAACCACUAGGAUUUUACCACAAUGUUACCCACGAGCUGGAACUAGGAAACCCACUUCACAAACAGAAUUUGGAACAGUCAGUAAUUUGGACCUUGACUCUCGCAAAGCAUGUCAAAGUUGUGAAAAGGGAUACAAAUAUAUUUCCAUCAAUCUUAGGAGUAAAAAAUGCAUAAUAUCAACUCUUGCAUAUUGUGAUUGUGUUAGACUUCCAUGUAUCAUUUUAAUUCUAUUUGGAAUGACUACAUAAUCUAUAGAAGACUAAUACAUGAUCUAUUUUUUUUUAUUCUUAAAGUGUGUGCUGUGUUCAUUAUUUAAAUGGUGAUGAUCCUCUCAGAUCAUUGUUCCCUUUUACAUAUGCGGUAUGAAUUCCUAAUGUUUUCUAUAUCUGUAUAUGAGAAUACUAAGUUAAUGUAUUUUGAUUGCUUCACCCAAAGAUUUCAUCAGGGGAGUGUAUGAAUUGAAAUGUUUAGCUCAAGAUGAUUUUUGGUGCUCCUAUGACUAAGUAUUAGAGCGUUAACUUUGCUCGAGAGUCACGCAGUUAAGUGUUAAUCCUUACGUCGUGGUUUCCCAACCACUGCACGACAUGCAGACUAGGUGCAGGCAAGGAAAAAUUCUCCGAUUACAAAGGGACGUUAAAGAAACAAAGAAAAGUAUUUUUCGUUUGAAAAAAUGAGUUAAAAGAAGUGUUUCAUUCAGCUGUGUAUUGGGGUGCAGAUAAAACAGUACAUGGAGGGUUAUUUUUAUAUAUUGUUUAUAUACUACUGUGCCUUAUUGGAGGAAGCACAUUUGUUUUUGAAAUUGUAUACACUUUUUUGACAUUGUAUUUCAUAUUUAUUUUGAUCACAUGUUGAUAGGUCCACUUAUUGUUGAAUUGCAAACCUAUCAACAUAAAGAGGAGGUAAGAUGUAAAUUUUCGUCUUUUCUGUUGAAUCCACCAGCUUUCUGUCCUUGUGUAUAGAAACGAACUUAGUCAUUGUAAAGGAAAACUACGAAUGCUUUUUGAUUUUAAUGCUUUUGGUGGAUCCACCAAACUCCCCACUUUUAAUAAAUACACAGGCAAUGUUGACAAUAUAUCAUUUAAGUAUUCUUGAGUAUUCCUAUUUGCAUUUUGGUGGAUCCACGAAGUAUUUGUAAGUGAAAUCGAGAAUGCCUAGUUAUUUGAUUUUUUUUUUACAGUUUUGUGAGUCCACCAAACUCCUCUCUGUAUUUAAGGACAAUUUAGUUGAACUUUGGGUUACAUGUAGAUUUUUGACUUUUCUGGUGGAUCCACCAGCUUUUUGUCCUUGUGUACAUAAAUGUAUUAAGGAAGUGUCACUAGGUAAUUGUAAAGGAAAAUUAUGAAUGUCUUUUGAUUUUUAGCUUUUGGUGGAUCCACCAAAAUGCCCACUAUAGAUAAUUACACGGAUAAUGUUGACAGUAUAUCAUUCAAGUAUUCUUGUGUAUUCCUGUUUGUAUUUUUGGUGGAUCCACCAAGUAUUUGUGAGUAAAAUUGAGAAUGUCUUGUUAGUUGAUUUUUUGCAUUUUGGUGAGUCCACCGACUCUGUAUGAGGGACAAUUUUAGUUAUACUUUCUUUUUUAGUUUUUGGUGGUUCCUCCACUCAGUUUCUCUCAAUGAGUUGUUUCAGUGUCUUAACACUGGUGGAUUCACCAACGUCGUUUUUAAAGUAUCAUCAUUAUCAAAAGUAAUUGAGAAUUUCACCAGAUUGCUUUUUUAAAUUUGAGCUGAAUUGUCUAUUUGUAUUUUUGGUAGAAUCACCAAGUUUUCUUGAAGAUAUUUCAGUUGUUUUGUUGGUAAGUUCACCAAUUCUUUUAAUGAAUUGUAGAAUUAUGUAUGGUCAAAUUCACUCUUGUUUUCUUGGUGGAACCACCAAGAUCAAUCUUUACUUGAAGAUAUUUGAUAAUUCAAAUUGGUGGAUUCACCAAUCCUUUGACUGUGAUUAUGGAAUACCGAUACAUUAUUGAUCUGUUUAAACAUAAAUAUUGGUGACCACACCAAUUCUUAACUUAUUCAAUAACGAAAAUGAAUAAAAAAAAUUGUCGAUUUCUGAAAUU